ensembl:lncRNA
CUUUCCCCAGUGGUAAAAGCCUUUAUGCUAAGCUAAUCUAACUUCCACCUGGCUUCAGAUCCACUCUUAGAGCACAGACACGAGUGGUGAGUAAGUUUUCCUCUAACUCCUGGAAAGAAGUCAGAUUUUUUUUUUCCAGGUUCAUUCUAUUUUUUCUAACUCCUAUUUAUUUAGUGAGACGUUAGAGGUGCAUAGGCCCAGAAUAACUUACAAAGACAUAUAAAUGUUUAAAUCUAUUUGCAUCUUUUUCCACAGACACAGAACUCAGUAUCAAAGAGUGAAUUUGAAUCCUGCCACAGAAGAGCCAUAUAUUAUCAAGAUAAAUAUAACAUGUGUGCUACUUUAUUUUGGGGGUCUCUGUCUAAAUUUCACUGAGCUGAAUCUAGUGCACAGUCUCGGGAAGGUUGUGCCAGAUGUCUCAUCUCACUCUUAGCUCAAGUGUCCCACAUACAGUGUGAGAGAAUUGCUGGUUACACUGCUCUUAGGACUGGCAGAGAAGCAGCAGGUUAGAAAAAAACACCUCCCAGGAGAAAUGAUUCAAGGUAUUGGAGAGCCACAAAGGUGAAUAAAGUGAAUGCAAUUUCAAAGGGGAAAUAAUGGAGGUCAUGGUGUUUGAUGUUCCUAUGCUGGUCACGAAAAUAACUUGGUUGAUGAUGGAAUCAAUCACACCUACACGGGAGUGAAUGUUAAUGAAGAUAUGUUUAGUAGUUGUUGUUUUUUUAAUUCUUCUUCUUUUCUUUUUUUUUUUUUUUUUGCAUUUUUAAUAAACAACGUUAACAUCAAGCCUAGACAUUGCUCCGUUGCUCCAGACAGAAUGAAGCGCCGUUAUCGGCAGCCAUGACUGAAGCAAUAAUAUUUGAAAUGUGACGGGUGUUUCUUUUUUUCUUUUUUUUAAAUGCUGUUCUUCUCCUGUGUUUUUGUUGAGAUGAGUGAACACAAGGUCAAAAUGGAGUUUAUCCUCUGAUAUCACCUGCCAGUCCAGACAAGAGAAGUGCUCACUCAAGGUGACAUUACUUUGGUGUCUGUACUCAGCAUGCCACUACAUCUUUCAUUUCCUGUGAGCUAAAAUUUACAACUUAUCCUUUGACAGGAGGAGUAAACAUCUCUAAUAUGACCCAGGCUGUGAUCUUCCUCGGUAAACAAAAGAAAACCUGCCUCAGCCUCUGUGAUCUCUGAGAAUCCAAAGCAAAACAAUAAACAAACCGCUUUUUUGUUUUUAUAUAUUUUGAAUAUGAGCCUAAAGCCCUUGAAAAAUGAAUCGUAAGUAUUCAAAUUCAGCAUGCAACACUGCAGUGCAUUUAUUGUAAGAUUAGUGGUUUUGACAGUGACUACAUUCGGUAUUCUGUGUGGGAUUAAGGUGAGAGCCAUGAAACGAACAGCGCUUACAUAAUUAGAUUGAUAAUAGAUAGCUACAAUAGGGGAGUGAUUUGGAAGAGCUCAUAACAUAUUCUUAUUCUUUCUGCUGUGGCACUUCAUAUUAGGCUUGGAAAGUUAUUUAGUAUGCAAUGGAUCAAUCACCAUCCUCAAAAGUCAUUUAAAUUAACUUCUUGGGCAGAUAUCUAUCCUGCAAAGUGGCCGACAGAGGCAAGG